AUGGGCGCCGAGGAGGACGCUGCCGCCCGCCGCGAGCGCCUCAAGGCCCUUCGCGCCGCCAAGGAGCUCCUCUCCACCCCCGACGCCCCCGCCCCCGCGCCCGACGCGGACCAGCAGAAUGGUGAACAUGGGAUGACAGAAGAACAGGUGGUCCAACCAGAAUUGCCAGGUCCUGUGGAUGCACCCGAGGAUGCUUCCAGGGAGAACGUUAGCCCCACUAAGGAAUCUGAUGAGGUUGAAGACAAUGGGGAGGUACCACUGAAGUUCAGGAACUACCUUCCUCAUGAUGAGCGGCUCCGAGGUGGCAAGGUGGCUCCGCUGUCUCUUCCCAAGUUUGAAGAUCCGAUAGCUGCUGAUGCUGCUGAACCAAAGCAGCUGGAGAACCCCUUUGGGAACAUCGCCCCAAAGAACCCGAACUGGGACCUGAAACGAGAUGUGCAGAAGAGGAUUGACAAGCUGGAGAAGCGCACUCAGAAAGCUCUGGCGGAGAUUGCAUUGGAGCAGCAAAAGGAGAAAGAGGCGCUGGAGGAGGGAGGCGAUGCAGCUCAAGAGUGA
rnacentral:rRNA from 1 species